rnacentral:piRNA from 1 species
UGACAAGGUAUUGUCUUGUUUCAGACUCAA